rnacentral:rRNA from 1 species
UUCCGGUUGAUCCCGCCGGACCUGACUGCUAUCGGAUUGAUACUAAGCCAUGCGAGUCUUUGUAGUAAUACAAGGCAUACGGCUCAGUAACACGUAGUCAACCUACCCUAUGGACGAGAAUAAUCUCGGGAAACUGAGCAUAAUUCUUGAUAGAUCAUAAUGCCUGGAAUGGUUUAUGGUUAAAAUGAUUCGUCGCCAUAGGAUGGGACUGCGGCCUAUCAGCUUGUUGGUGAGGUAAUGGCCCACCAAGGCGAUUACAGGUACGGGCUCUGAGAGGAGAAGCCCGGAGAUGGGUACUGAGACACGGACCCAGGCCCUAUGGGGCGCAGCAGGCGAGAAAACUUUGCAAUGUGCGAAAGCACGACAAGGUUAAUCCGAGUGAUUUCUGCUAAAGAAAUCUUUUGCCAGUCGUAAAAACGCUGGUGAAUAAGGGGUGGGCAAGUUCUGGUGUCAGCCGCCGCGGUAAAACCAGCACCUCAAGUGGUCAGGAUGAUUAUUGGGCCUAAAGCAUCCGUAGCCGGCUUUGUAAGUUUUCGGUUAAAUCCAUGUGCUCAACGCAUGGGCUGCCGAAAAUACUGCAUAGCUAGGGAGUGGGAGAGGUAGACGGUACUCAGUAGGUAGGGGUAAAAUCCUUUGAUCUAUUGAUGACCACCUGUGGCGAAGGCGGUCUACCAGAACACGUUCGACGGUGAGGGAUGAAAGCUGGGGGAGCAAACCGGAUUAGAUACCCGGGUAGUCCCAGCUGUAAACGAUGCAGACUCGAUGAUGCAUUGGCAUAAUAGCCAUUGCAGUGUCGCAGGGAAGCCGUUAAGUCUGCCGCCUGGGAAGUACGUACGCAAGUAUGAAACUUAAAGGAAUUGGCGGGGGAGCACCACAAGGGGUGAAGCCUGCGGUUCAAUUGGAGUCAACGCCGGG